rnacentral:rRNA from 1 species
CAGCAGCCACGGUAAUACGAAGGGGGCUAGCGUUGUUCGGAUUUACUGGGCGUAAAGCGCACGUAGGCGGACUUUUAAGUCAGGGGUGAAAUCCCGGGGCUCAACCCCGGAACUGCCUUUGAUACUGGGAGUCUUGAGUUCGAGAGAGGUGAGUGGAAUUGCGAGUGUAGAGGUGAAAUUCGUAGAUAUUCGCAGGAACACCAGUGGCGAAGGCGGCUCACUGGCUCGAUACUGACGCUGAGGUGCGAAAGCGUGGGGAGCAAACAGGAUUAGAUACCCCAGUAGUCCCUGUCUCUUAUAA